ensembl:snoRNA small nucleolar RNA SNORD35
UGCACAUGAUGCCAUUCUCUCACGAUGGUCUUCCAAGUCUCACGGUGAAGGGGCUUUGACGACAAUGCCACUCGGCUUUGCUGAUGCCUAGUG